GCGGAGGAUGCAGGCAUUGGAACUGCGAACAGCGACUUCUCCAGCUCUGCCAGGCGCUCCGUGACAGUUAUUAUUAUUUUUUGGAUGAGCUGCACAUUUCCUGGUUCAGUGGCCCGGGCUUUGUGAGCAGCUGACUGGUCUCCCAGGUCUGGCUCAGGAUCAGCUGAUGACGCAGAGAUUGGGGUCUGUGACUUCCUUCAGAUAAUCGUGAAGUCGGCGAGUUUAGAGGAGACGGUUCUUGAGAACACAAUUCCAGGACCCAGGCAGGCCUAGAACAAGGGCACAAGUCGCACUCUCCGGCUUGUGUGGAUCUCCAGCUGGGUCCACUUCCAGGGAGGGCGGUCUCUCGGAGGGAAUGCAAAAGCAGUCGGGUUUGGGUUUGAGCCUGCUGCCUGCCUCCGGAAGGGCUCAGAUUUGCAGAGACUCAGUAAAGGAGAUGUUUGGGCUGCCUGGAGUCCUGCUUGCAUUUUCUGAUACCAGCUCCAGGGGGAAAGUGAACUGGGGCAACUGACCAGAUCAAGACUCGGUGGCGGCUUCCUCUAAAGCUUCACGGCUCAUCCUCUACGAGGUGGGUAAGAAAUUUUGUUAAUUCCCAAAGCAAGCAGGAAUGUGUUUAGUAGUCUCUGGACUGAGGAAGCUAUUAUCUCUAAGGCCAGGAGGUGGCUUUGGUGGUUUGGCACUUCUGUCUUUCCUUUGCUUACUAGAAAGUUCAAAUGCAAAGUGAUAUGGCGCAGAUAUACAAUAGGCAUCCUCAAAUCUUAGUGCUUAAGAAACAGUAUUUCUCUAACAGUGACCCUUUCUUAAUAGCAACAACAGUGGGAGGGGGUGUUGAAAAGCAAAUAUUGGUAGCAUUGACUCAUGUACCGUUGCGCCCAUUUCAGCACAUAUCUGAAACAUCAGAGAUGCUGAGGGACACACACUUCACUAACUCUUCCAGAUUC
rnacentral:lncRNA from 1 species